AGAGUUUGAUCCUGGCUCAGAAUCAACGCUGGCGGCGUGCCUAACACAUGCAAGUCGAACGCGAAAGUGGAGCAAUCCAUGAGUAGAGUGGCAAACGGGUGAGUAACGCGUGGGUGACCUACCUUCGAGUGGGGGAUAACGCUCCGAAAGGGACGCUAAUACCGCAUAACAUGCCGCCUUUUAACAGGUGGACAUCAAAGCUGGGGAUCGCAAGACCUAGCGCUGGAAGAGGGGCCCGCGUCCGAUUAGCUAGUUGGUGGGGUAACGGCUCACCAAGGCAACGAUCGGUAUCCGGCCUGAGAGGGCGGACGGACACACUGGGACUGAGACACGGCCCAGACUCCUACGGGAGGCAGCAGUGGGGAAUUGUUCGCAAUGGGCGCAAGCCUGACGACGCAACGCCGCGUGGAGGAUGAAGAUCUUCGGGUCGUAAACUCCUUUCGAUCGAGACGAAUGGCCCUUGGGCUAAUCACCAGGGGAAUGACGGUACCGAGAGAAGAAGCCCCGGCUAACUCCGUGCCAGCAGCCGCGGUAAUACGGGGGGGGCAAGCGUUGUUCGGAAUUACUGGGCGUAAAGGGCUCGUAGGUGGCCAACUAANUCAGACGUGAAAUCCCUCGGCUUAACCGGGGAACUGCGUCUGAUACUGGAUGGCUUGAGUUUGGGAGAGGGAUGCGGAA
rnacentral:rRNA from 1 species